UUCAUCGAGAUACCCUCCUGCAUCAGAUACAUCCGUCUCAUCGAAUGGAGCAGCCAUCACUACCGCAAUCAAAGCUAGGACCGCCAGCGAUAUCUGAAAGAGCAAAUAAGGAAAAACAAAUCAAUAAUAAUAUUGGAAUCUAAAUCGGUCACGGACGCAUUGAUGAAAUCUACAUGCGGCUGCUGUUAUUCUUUGUUAUUGGGCAAUACGCGAAGGCUAACUGGCGUUUUAUACCCCCCAGCAAAUGCAGUGUUGUUUCGAUGACAUUACGAAUAUCAUUCUAAGUUAUGAAUCGAUAAAAUAAUUGGUCAUUUCAUCAGGUUUUUGUUGGCAGUUCCAAAAGGAAACCAACCGUUCUCUCCAUUGACCAAAUAAAAUCUGUGGGAGACGGUAUCGUCCUGGCAAGCGACGCGGCACGGCCUGUCUGGAUCCUCUGAAAAAAGAAAGAUCGAUGUUGCGAAUUGAUACGGACUCCUGAGGCGCCCACAACUCUGAAUAUUACACGUAUUAUAAUGUUAAUUCAUUCGAUCGUAGAUUUAGAUUACGAAGUGCCUGGAGUGGACUCGGCGAAGAGACAUCCAGAAGCACAUUCCGACACGUGCCAAGCGCCCCAAAUUCCUCCAGAAAGUUUUUCCGUGCUACUACCUCCACUGGUGCUACCCAGGAGGUGAAAUUUUACCCUAUUGUUACCGCAAGAUGUUCCUUCCAAUGCGGGGUGCGAUGUCCAGGUAUACCUAUCGCGUUCGCAAUGCAUGUCUCUACAGAUAUCAUCAAGAGGUAGAGCACCUUCCGCGCUGUGAUCCAAUUGACCUCCGCUACUCCCAUGGUCCAGAAGACAUCUGGAUUGACUGGUCCUGCAGGAAGUGGAUUUAAAAUAUGUUUCAUUCGGCAUAAGAACAUUUGAUCGUACAAUGCCAUCACAAAUGGACACAGCGAUUUCAUCUCCGUAAUAAAGGCAAUCAAAUUCAUCCCUGUGCUGAUCAGUGACGUCUUCAGUUCCAUUCUCGCUCCUUCUGAGUAACGUGAAUUCCGUGGAGACGAUUGAAUUCCUAGGAAUUAAUUCCGAUAGCCAACUUCGUCCGAGACCAUUAAUGAAUAUGGUUUUGUCAUCGUCUGAUGGUAAUUGUAUCCGAGAAUCGCAUAGAUAGCAGGGUAUAAUUACACCGUGAAAAAUUGGGUGAAGUUGCCCAACCGAAAUUAUGAGCUGCGCUGCGUCAAGAAGUACAUUGUACAUCGUAUAUCUUCGAGUAGUUGUGAAUGGAGCGGGAUGGCAAUAUUAUGACAACGAUAAUGGUGAUGUGCAUGAAAAAUGAAAAAAGAAAAGAGGAAAAAAGUUGCAUCCAGCGAAAACAGUAGCAAGGAACAAGCCAGCUACAGAGUUCUACACGUGGGGCGUGUUAUUAUUUCGUUACGGGGCAGAAGAUAGGGUGUCCUCGGCCUCGAGAAUUAGCGGGCACGAACGGGACGGCCAUUGAUAUAACUGAUUAUCUUCAGUAACUCACGGCGUUGGAAACAACCGGAAAGAGAUAAGCAUACAAGACGAGAAACUGAUCCAUUGAAGAGAGUGCGGAUAUAGAAAUUUUUUCGAACACGGGGAAAGUAUUAUAUCUGUUGGUUUACGUUGCUGCAUUUAAUCGAGGUGCGGCCAAAGCGAUAGACGAACCGUGACUAUUACCAUCGUGCAGGAAGUAGAUAAUUUUUGGAGUCGUGUAAUGAAACUGAAAACAAAUUUGAACCGGCUUAACGCAAGAAAGGGAUUGACCUAGAUGACUUGUGAUUGGUGGUACUACUGUUCAGAAAUUUACGUUGCUCGGGAACCUGCGGUUAGCGAACUGGCUGCUGAAUGUGUAACACCUCAGAUGAUGUUACCUCCUCCCACCUAUGACAGGACGCCAGAGUGAUGCUCCCCCUUCGCAAUUUGUUUACAUUUAUUAAACAUAGCCAUGAUGAAAGGAACGGACAUUCAAUGAACGAGUACUUUGAGUCGCAUUCGAUGAUGCACAUAAGCUGCUCGACUUGGAGUAUCUGAAUUUGAUUCAGAAACACGAAUCCGCCAAGUAAAAUGAGCAGAAAAUGGAUCUCGAAGAAAUAUCCCGAUUUUUUCACGUUUUGAAGCGAUGAAUUGGCGAUCAUCGGAACAAGUUGCGAUUCAAUUCUUUCAUGAUUCUUAUUCUGCGUUCUUUUCUGUUUCGAAUGAGAAUCUUGUUACUAUUAUGAAGCGAUACUUCGUGGAAUUAUCAAAUUGACUUUUGAUGUUGAUACAAUUGAGAAUAAUGCAAAUUAUAUUGAAGCACAUUUAUUGAAGAUACAAAAUUCUUGGUAUGAAUUAUUCAAUGUAAUACAUGAUGAUUUAUGAAUAAACGGAACCCACCCGAA